rnacentral:rRNA from 1 species
AGAUUGAACGCUGGCGGCAGGCCUAACACAUGCAAGUCGAGCGGCAGCACGGGUACUUGUACCUGGUGGCGAGCGGCGGACGGGUGAGUAAUGCCUAGGAAUCUGCCUGAUAGUGGGGGAUAACGCUCGGAAACGGACGCUAAUACCGCAUACGUCCUACGGGAGAAAGCAGGGGACCUUCGGGCCUUGCGCUAUCAGAUGAGCCUAGGUCGGAUUAGCUAGUUGGUGGGUAAUGGCUCACCAAGGCGACGAUCCGUAACUGGUCUGAGAGGAUGAUCAGUCACACUGGAACUGAGACACGGUCCAGACUCCUACGGGAGGCAGCGAGUGGGGAAUAGUUGGACAAGUGGGACGAAAGCCGUGAUCCAGGCCAUCGACCGGCGUGGUGUGGAAGGAAGGUUCUUACGGAUUGUAAAAGCUAACGUUUAAGGUU